GCUCGGUCUUACCUGAGUCGGUAGGGCGUACGGCUGUAGUAACCGUAAGGUCGACAGUUCGAACCUGUCAUCGAGCG
rnacentral:tRNA from 1 species